AUUUCCCACGGCAAUUAACCUCCAACUAUCAAUCAUCAUUGACACACAUUCUGCAUAUGGGCACACAAUUAACCCACUGACCUACAUAUGCUAAUUCAAGGAAAAGUAAGUUCAACCGAGCUAAAGUUCAUCACCCCCUCCCAGGAUCUGAUACAUGCUACUGGCCCCCCAUCCACUACCCAACCACAGUCCCUCUUGAAUAGCAAACAAUCAUAACAGUCAACUUGCCAUAGGCUUCACACAGCCUAUUGAUCUCCACAAGAAUUUUUUUUCUAAUGUUAAAGAUGGAUACAUACAAGGUUACAUCCAACAGACCUCCCCCCAGCGGACUGAAUUUGCCAAUGUAUAUAAGAAUAGAAUUGUACACUGUUUUAUAUGAACCUGAUGAAGAGGGGUGACCCCCUCGAAGCGUGUUGUUCUGCACCUCAAUAAAGCGUUAUUCUGUUACUUUUGGUAGCAGAAGUCGGAUUUUCCAUCAGACAUCUUGUUAGCUCUGCGGGGCUAUCCAGGUUCUGCACCUGCACAUCUGUACUCUACCGCUCGCACAGCGGGACCAACAGCCAGCUGCCGCCCGACUCUGCUAACUAUACCAAGCAUGAAUCAGUGUUGUGCCUGCCCACACAACACUAUAAGAUCUGCUCUAAUCAAAAAUACAUACAGAGUUAAAGCACAACAUUGAAAAACUACGUACCUCUAUUCUGCAAGUGAACUUAUCUAAGUUUGAAUGAGACACUAAGGAUUAUUUGUAUGAUAGAGUCUACACUUGGGCGAACGAAAGAAGACGCACCCGACACCUCAAUCGAGAGGCAAAGAAAGAUUUCGAAUGGUUUGAUGGAACGUCGACUGAUAGUGAACUAGGAUCCAAUAGUGAAACACAAGGUGUGAAUGCAUCUGUUUUUUUAGGCACACGCCCAAAGGACACAAGAGGAAGAAAAGCAGCAAAUGUGAACUUGUCAGGAGGAACACAGACCAGAGCUCAAAAGAAAAAGCUGACUUAGAGGAAGCUGAAAUCCACCCGAAAACCAUC